CGGGGCCGGGGGGGGGGGCCCGGGGCGAGCAGACGGGCCGGCCCCCGGGGAGAGCGGCAGCCGUGGCGAAUGGCGCUGCCCCCCGGGGGGGGGGUGACCCCUGCCCCGGCCCCACGCCCGGGCUGUCCCAGCCCAGGCGCUCGGGCUUUGUCCCCGCCGGCCGCCCCGUCCCUCCUCCCGCGCUCCCCCGCCCUCCAGCCAUCCCUCCGUCGCCGGCUCUGCCUCAACUUUAGAGGCAGGUCCCGGAGGCGCCGGGGAGCGGGAGCGGGACCUGUACCCGCACCGGCACCGGGAGGGAGCAUCCAGGCUCCAUCCCGGGCCAAGCCCCCUCCCCACCCUGCCAGCCUGGGAAGGAUGCGGCGACCCGGAGCUGACGGCGACCGUGGGCAGCACCAGCCCCGCGGGGCGAGCAGAGGAGAAACCCCCGCGUUGCUUGGAUCACCACGGUCCAGCAGCAUCCCUCACCGGUGACGGGCAUGGGGCGAAGCAGCCAGAGAGAUGGGGAGACCACCCACCCCGCAGCACCCUAGAAAUCAAAAGAGAGAGGAGCCCUGUGGGGUGCUGUGGACUGAGCUUUCCUGCCCUUGGGAGCCACCAGACCGGGAGAAGGUUGCUCCUGCCAUGGGUUUGCAGCAGCAAAGUUGGACGUGGCUGUUGGGGACGGGCUGGUUUGGUCACAUCCCUGCACGGUGAGCGCAGCGCCCACGGAGCCAGGCACGGGAAGCUAGCUGCGCUGCCCUGAGGAUGCUUGAGACCCCUCUGUCUCUCCUGAAUGGGGCAGCUGCCCAGCAGCGCAGUGGGGGCUCUGUGGGCUGCACCCCACAGCCAGGGUGUUGGAACCCCCUACAACCAACCGGCUGCAACAAGGAGGUGAUGUGAGCGGAUGCCGUGGGGGCCGGGUGGCCAGGAAGGCUGGAGAAAAGCCAAGGCUCGGUUCGAAGCGCGGGCAGGAUCUGUGCGGAUGCCCUUCCCACCCCCGGGGUAAGGGCUUGCUCCCUCCUUUCCCAUCUAAGCAGCCCCAAGGCUGAAGCCAGACGUGCCCAGGACGUCACACUUGGGGGUCCCCCCCAACCUUGCUGCCAGACGAGGUGCACGGACCGUGAGAUGGCAUUCCAGGAAGAUGGAAAGACCCAGAGCUGCUGAUGCCGAGCCCGAGGCGUUGGGAGGACGAGGUCUGCAGCUCAACGAGGCGAAAGGGAAAAAAAAAAUAUGUGCAUUAAAGGUGUUCAAAGCCCCCAGCUGUGUCGCAGCCACAUGUGCCACUGGUGUCUGAGAAGAAUUUUGCCCCUUUUUCUUGGAGGACCCCCCAAAUCCCUGCAAGACCCGGUGUCCAGUGUGUGUCUCCUUCCCAGCAGGUCGAGCUUUUUGCCU